AGUGGCGGACGGGUGAGUAACGCGUAAGAAUCUAACUUCAGGACGGGGACAACAGUUGGAAACGACUGCUAAUACCCGAUGUGCCGCGAGGUGAAACCUAAUUGGCCUGAAGAAGAGCUUGCGUCUGAUUAGCUAGUUGGUGGGGUAAAGGCCUACCAAGGCGACGAUCAGUAGCUGGUCUGAGAGGAUGAGCAGCCACACUGGGACUGAGACACGGCCCAGACUCCUACGGGAGGCAGCAGUGGGGAAUUUUCCGCAAUGGGCGAAAGCCUGACGGAGCAACGCCGCGUGAGGGAGGAAGGUCUUUGGAUUGUAAACCUCUUCUCAAGGAAGAAGUUCUGACGGUACUUGAGGAAUCAGCCUCGGCUAACUCCGUGCCAGCAGCCGCGGUAAUACGGGGGAGGCAAGCGUUAUCCGGAAUUAUUGGGCGUAAAGCGUCCGCAGGUGGUCAGCCAAGUCUGCCGUCAAAUCAGGUUGCUUAACGACCUAAAGGCGGUGGAAACUGGCAGACUAGAGAGCAGUAGGGGUAGCAGGAAUUCCCAGUGUAGCGGUGAAAUGCGUAGAGAUUGGGAAGAACAUCGGUGGCGAAAGCGUGCUACUGGGCUGUAUCUAACACUCAGGGACGAAAGCUAGGGGAGCGAAAGGGAUUAGAUACCCCUGUAGUCCUAGCCGUAAACGAUGGAUACUAGGCGUGGCUUGU
rnacentral:rRNA from 1 species